rnacentral:rRNA from 1 species
UGGGGAAUAUUGCACAAUGGGGGAAACCCUGAUGCAGCGACGCCGCGUGAGCGAUGAAGGCUUUCGAGUCGUAAAGCUCUGUCCUAUGGGAAGAUAAUGACGGUACCUGUAGAACAAGCCACGGCUAACUACGUGCCAGCAGCCGCGGUAAUACGUAGGUGGCGAGCGUUAUCCGGAUUUACUGGGCGUAAAGGGCGUGUAGGCGGCUAGAUAAGUGUGAUGUUUAAAUCCAAGGCUUAACCUUGGGGUUCAUUACAAACUGUUUAGCUUGAGUGCUGGAGAGGAUAGUGGAAUUCCUAGUGUAGCGGUAAAAUGCGUAGAUAUUAGGAGGAACACCGGUGGCGAAGGCGGCUAUCUGGACAGUAACUGACGCUGAGGCGCGAAAGCGUGGGGAGCAAACAGG